ACUUAGGUGCUACUUACUGAGAUGGACAUGGGCCAGUGCAUGAGUACCAGGUCCACGUAGUCCAGGUUGAGGCGGCGCAGCGACCCUCGCACUGACACCUCCACGUCAGCCUCGCGGUGGAAGUGGUGCCACAGACUAUGACGUAGGUGCUACUUACCGAGAUAGACAUGGGCCAGUGCAUGAGUACCAGGUCCACGUAGUCCAGGUUGAGGCGCCGCAGCGACCCUCGCACUGACACCUCCACGUCAGCCUCGCGGUGGAAGUGGUGCCACAGACUGACUUAGGUGCUACUUACCGAGAUAGACAUGGGCCAGUGCAUGAGUACCAGGUCCACGUAGUCCAGGUUGAGGCGCCGCAGCGACCCUCGCACUGACACCUCCACGUCAGCCUCGCGGUGGAAGUGGUGCCACAGACUAUGACUUAGGUGCUACUUACCGAGAUAGACAUGGGCCAGUGCAUGAGUACCAGGUCCACGUACUCCAGGUUGAGGCGCCGCAGCGACCCUCGCACUGACACCUCCACGUCAGCCUCGCGGUGGAAGUGGUGCCACAGACUAUGACUUAGGUGCUACUUACCGAGAUAGACAUGGGCCAGUGCAUGAGGACCAGGUCCACGUACUCCAGGUUGAGGCGCCGCAGCGACCCUCGCACUGACACCUCCACGUCAGCCUCGCGGUGGAAGUGGUGCCACA